rnacentral:sRNA from 1 species
GAAGCAACCGUUGAUUGAACAACUCCGCCAGCCUAGCUAAGUGAGCAAGAUGAAGAUGAAUUGGCAAGUAAUGCAUACCAGUUCUACUCCGUAGUACUCAUAACAUUCCUGAGGUAGAGGAAUUCUAGGGAACCCACAUUCAUCACCUUUUUUGAGGGGAUUUCUAGCCCAAUAUCAUAGUUGAUUGAACCACCUCGCCGACAUCGCCUAUUGCCAUCUCAAGGCUGGACGGGCACCCCUCCGCGGCGAGGGUAGGGAUUGAAGGGGGCAGAAACACUUAGCCGCGAAUUCUGUUUUUGGCGAGCAUCUAAAUAACUGGAGUUCAAACGUCAUUUAACCUUGCCAGGAACAAUUUCUUUCUGCAGGUUUGUUUUGGUAAUAAUAUCCAGUUGAAUUUCUAUCGUUCUGAGAACUCUGGGUCGAAAUACGAUGGCAUUUUGGAAUAUUCUGAGUGAAUGACGUCGUGGGAAAUCACUUUUAUUGACAUUUGAGCCUCUUGUAUGAUUCAGCCAUGGUCGUCGGCAUCCCGUCUGCUCGUUGAUAGAGCCUCUUUAGAAACAGAAGUGUGCUAGAGAGUUUCCAUGCAUGAAUCUCGCAAGCUUAUCGCCGACAGGCGGAUGACUUUGCAAGAUAUUGCUUGGUCAAGCAGUCUACCAUGGUGGGACUGGCCACCAGCUUAAGACUGGGAUUUGGUCAAUAUUGUGGCAGGCUCUUGAAGCUUGAGAUACGAAGAUGCGGACCCAUCAGGAUAAGAAUGGAUCUAAAAAGGCAUCGAACGCUUUCUAAUUCAGCCUGUGAUGUGGGGAAGAAAGACAUUUGCUAUCGUUAGUCUGGACAUGAUCGAACCGGUUUUCCAAAGUUGGAGCUACGAAUAGUAUGGCAUGUGGCCACAUACUAGUGCUAGAUAGGCGGGCCAAGGCAACAGGCAUGGCCAGACUCUUGUCAGGAUUCUCAGCAAGGCUGGAGUGAUAGGCGGAUUCAAUAGAGCAGUUAAGCGCCUCCGCUGGGUUCGUCUAUAAGCGAGCACGAGUUGAGUUCGAGACUACAACUUGUUUGAACAGCCAAAAAGGCCACCGCAAUGAGCACAUUUUUUCAAAGGAAGGCCUAUUUCAAUAUUUCUUG